UACAGGGGGUGCAAACGUUGCUCGGAAUCAUUGGGCGUAAAGCGCACGUAGGCGGUUCGUUAUGUCGGAUGUGAAAGUCCUUGGCUUAACCGAGGAAGUGCAUCCGAAACUGGCGAGCUAGAGUACUAAAGAGGAUCGCGGAAUUCCCGGUGUAGAGGUGAAAUUCGUAGAUAUCGGGAGGAACACCGGUGGCGAAGGCGGCGAUCUGGGUAGAUACUGACGCUGAGGUGCGAAAGCGUGGGGAGCAAACAGG
rnacentral:rRNA from 1 species